rnacentral:rRNA from 1 species
UUAAAUAUUAAAUUCAAUUUAAAUAAAUAAAUAAAUUUAAUUUUAAAUUAUAUUAAUUAAUAUAUUUUAUAUAUUAAUUUACAUAUUAUAUAUAUAUAUUAAACUAAUUAAAACUUAUAAUUAUUCUAAAUAUUGAUCUAACAUAUAAAUUAAAAUAAUAUUAAUAAAAAUUAAAUUUAAUUAUAUUUAUGACAAAAAUAAAUAAAAAUUUUAUAAAUUAGUUUAAAGUGCAUUAUCUAUUUAAUUAACAAGUUACCCUAAUAAUUUAAUACCGCCAAAUUAAAUAAUUUUAAUUAAAAUUAAUCUUCAUUUUUUUUUAAAUUUAUAUAACUUAUAACUAGGGUAUCUAAUCCUAUACUAAUUUUUUAUAAAAUAUAUUUAACUUAAUAAAUAAUAAAUAUAUAUUAUUAAUUUCACCUAAUCAAUAUAAUUUAAUUAAUUUUAAAAAAAAAAAAGAAAAAUAAUAAAAAUUAUUAAAUUAAUUAAAUACAGUUUUUGU